UGUCCUACGGGGGGCAGCAGUGGGGAAUAUUGGGCAAUGGAGGAAACUCUGACCCAGCAAUGCCGCGUGAAUGAAGAAGGUCUUCGGAUUGUAAAGUUCUUUAGUCAGGGAAGAAUAAAAUGACGGUACCUGAAGAAUAAGCUCCGGCUAACUACGUGCCAGCAGCCGCGGUAAUACGUAGGGAGCAAGCGUUGUUCGGAAUGACUGGGCGUAAAGGGUGCGUAGGCGGUUAUACAAGUUAGAAGUGAAAUACCCAGGGCUUAACUCGGGUGCUGCUUCUAAAACUGGAAUACUUGAGUGCAGUG
rnacentral:rRNA from 1 species